GUGCCAGCCGCCGCGGUAAUACGUAGGUGGCAAGCGUUGUCCGGAUUUACUGGGCGUAAAGCGCGCGCAGGCGGCCUGUUAAGUCUGCUGUAAAAUCUCCCGGCUUAACCGGGAGGGGCCAGCGGAUACUGGCAGGCUUGAGGCAAGCAGAGGAAGGUGGAAUUCCCGGUGUAGUGGUGAAAUGCGUAGAUAUCGGGAGGAACACCAGUGGCGAAGGCGGCCUUCUGGGCUUGUCCUGACGCUGAGGCGCGAAAGCGUGGGGAGCGAACCGGAUUAGAAACCCCUGUAGUCC
rnacentral:rRNA from 1 species